AACCCUGCUCUACACAGGCAAAGGGCUGUCAGCACAAUAUUUUCACUCCUCGCCGAAAACCUAUCAUUUCCAGCCUUGGAGGGUACACAGUGCCCUUUUGCUAAGAGGAAUCGUCUCCUGAAAAUAAGAAGAGACAUAUUUCAAAGCUAGGACACCACAGACCAGACCACAUGACACUCAGGACCAAAUGUUCAGAAAACAGAGUCACCAUUUUGUACUUGAGCAGUUGUUUUUCUCUUGGGCUGAGUGUGGAAUACUGAAAGCAGGUGUCCAUGCUUUCAUAUGCACUUCCCACACUGCAAUUCUGUUUGCUGGUGGCAUUAGCUUGUUGGGUUAUUUCUGUUAACCGAGGGAACUCUUUACAUUGACUUGACCUAACUAGGAUGUUCUGCUCAAAUAACCUUGUUCUAACUUAGAGCUGCCCCCAGGACUUAAAAUCCCAAUCCUGUGGCAUAGCCUUCUUAGGGGAAGAUAGAAGUGAAGAGGGUAUCAUCAGAGCCAUUUCACGCCUUCCUCUGCCAAUAUUCUAAGAGAUAGAUUUUAUUUUAUUUAUUAUUAGUUUUUUUUUUUUUUGAG
rnacentral:lncRNA from 10 species